rnacentral:tRNA from 1 species
GGGGCCGUGGCUCUGUGGUAGAACAUCUGCUUGGCAUGCAGACUGUCCCAGUUUCAAUCCCUGGCCGCUAAAAGGACCA